UGAAAUAGUAAUUUUGCAGUAAUGGUCAC
rnacentral:piRNA from 1 species